CCUAGAAGAGAUGCUUUCAACUUCUACUUUUCUGGUCAUAUGUAAAUAGUUGGGUUUUUUGACAGUUUGACAGGUUUACGGCAGUCAAGACGACAAAAAUGGUUAUCAAAAGGAGCUGGCAUACAGCCAAUACCACCAGUUCUGAUCUUUUUACGAUUAUCAAAUUGUACAUGGGGGGUUAAGUUGAAUUUUAGUUUCAUUUUUUCAAAAGU
ensembl:ncRNA T05A6.14 ncRNA